ACGGCGGCCGUAACUAUAACGGUCCUAAGGUAGCGAAAUUCCUUGUCGGGUAAGUGCCGACCCGCACGAAAGGCGUAACGAUUUGGGCACUGUCUCAACAACAGACUCGGUGAAAUUGUAAUUCCGGUGAAGAUGCCGGAUACCUGCGACAGGACGGAAAGACCCCAUGGAGCUUUACUGUAGCUUGACAUUGGGUCUUGGUACUACAUGUACAGGAUAGGU
rnacentral:rRNA from 1 species